rnacentral:other from 1 species
CGCUCCCUGGCAUGUGCGCCAGUCGGUGAUGUCCCUGAGCCGAUACGCACAACCUCGGAGGUUGGCAGCUGAGCCGGUGUGCAUGUCCGCACGACGGAAAGCCUUAAGGUUCGCUCCAACCGCCACCUUGAACUUUCGGGUUCAAGGGCUAACCCGACAGCGGCAUCUCGGGGAGUUC